GAGAGAUACCACAGGAGCGGUACCGAACGCGUCCGCGCCUGUGGCGGCA
rnacentral:sRNA from 1 species